GGCAGUAUGGUGUAAUGAUGCACACAGGAUUUGCUUAAGGGUGGAAGUGCAGAACAUAUUCCUAAGCCCUUGUUCGAGUCAAGGUACUGCUC